rnacentral:rRNA from 1 species
GGUAUGGGAUGAGCUUGCGUCCGAUUAGCUAGUUGGCGGGGCAACGGCCCACCAAGGCGACGAUCGGUAGCCGGCCUGAGAGGGUGAUCGGCCACAUUGGGACUGAGAUACGGCCCAGACUCCUACGGGAGGCAGCAGUAGGGAAUAUUGCACAAUGGGGGAAACCCUGAUGCAGCAACGCCACGUGUGGGAAGAAGCAUUUCGGCGUGUAAACCACUGUCGUGAGGGAAUAAGGCUGAGUUUCGGCUCAGUUGAAUGUACCUCGAGAGGAAGCACCGGCAAACUUCGUGCCAGCAGCCGCGGUAAUACGAGGGGUGCAAGCGUUGUUCGGAAUCACUGGGCGUAAAGGGAGCGCAGGCGGAAGCUCAAGCGGAUUGUACAAUACCGGGGCCCAACCCCGGACCUGCAGUCCGAACUGGGUUUCUUGGAUAGUUCAGGGGCAGGC